rnacentral:rRNA from 1 species
CGCUGGCGGCGUGCUUAACACAUGCAAGUCGAACGGGAUCNGCUGGAACUUGCUCCGGCCGUGAGAGUGGCGAACGGGUGAGUAAUGCGUGACCGACCUGCCCCAUACACCGGAAUAGCUCCUGGAAACGGGUGGUAAUGCCGGAUGCUCCGACAUGACGCAUGUCGUGUCGGGAAAGAUUCAUCGGUAUGGGAUGGGGUCGCGUCCUAUCAGCUUGAUGGCGGGGUAACGGCCCACCAUGGCUUCGACGGGUAGCCGGCCUGAGAGGGCGACCGGCCACAUUGGGACUGAGAUACGGCCCAGACUCCUACGGGAGGCAGCAGUGGGGAAUAUUGCACAAUGGGCGCAAGCCUGAUGCAGCGACGCCGCGUGCGGGAUGACGGCCUUUCGGGUUGUAAACCGCUUUUGACUGGGAGCAAGCCCUUCGGGGUGAGUGUACCUUUCGAAUAAGCACCGGCUAACUACGUGCCAGCAGCCGCGG